rnacentral:rRNA from 1 species
AUUGAACGCUGGCGGAAUGCUUUACACAUGCAAGUCGAACGGCAGCACGGGGGCAGCCCUGGUGGCGAGUGGCGAACGGGUGAGUAAUACAUCGGAACGUGCCCGGUCGUGGGGGAUAACGUAGCGAAAGUUACGCUAAUACCGCAUACGAUCUGAGGAUGAAAGCGGGGGACCUUCGGGCCGCGCGCGAUCGGAGCGGCCGAUGUCAGAUUAGGUAGUUGGUGGGGUAAAGGCCUACCAAGCCGACGAUCUGUAGCUGGUCUGAGAGGACGACCAGCCACACUGGGACUGAGACACGGCCCAGACUCCUACGGGAGGCAGCAGUGGGGAAUUUUGGACAAUGGGCGCAAGCCUGAUCCAGCCAUUCCGCGUGCAGGACGAAGGCCUUCGGGUUGUAAACUGCUUUUGUACGGAACGAAAAGGCUCUGGCUAAUACCUGGGGCUCAUGACGGUACCGUAAGAAUAAGCACCGGCUAACUACGUG